AACGAACGCUGGCGGCAGGCUUAACACAUGCAAGUCGAACGGAUAGCAAUAUCAGUGGCAGACGGGUGCGUAACGCGUGGGAACCUACCUAUUGGUGUGGAAUAACCACUAGAAAUGGUGGCUAAUACCGCAUAAGCCCUAAGGGGGAAAGAUUUAUCGCCGAUAGAUGGGCCCGCGUUGGAUUAGCUAGUUGGUGAGGUAAUGGCUCACCAAGGCGAUGAUCCAUAGCUGGUCUGAGAGGAUGAUCAGCCACACUGGAACUGAGACACGGUCCAGACUCCUACGGGAGGCAGCAGUGGGGAAUUUUCCGCAAUGGGCGCAAGCCUGACGGAGCAACGCCGCGUGAGGGAUGAAGGCCUCUGGGCUGUAAACCUCUUUUAUCAAGGAAGAAGAACUGACGGUACUUGAUGAAUAAGCCACGGCUAAUUCCGUGCCAGCAGCCGCGGUAAUACGGGAGUGGCAAGCGUUAUCCGGAAUUAUUGGGCGUAAAGCGUCCGCAGGCGGUUUUACAAGUCUGUCGUUAAAGCGUGGAGCUCAACUCCAUUUCAGCGAUGGAAACUGUAAGACUCGAGUGUGGUAGGGGCAGAGGGAAUUCCCGGUGUAGCGGUGAAAUGCGUAGAUAUCGGGAAGAACACCAGUGGCGAAAGCGCUCUGCUGGGCCAUAACUGACGCUCAUGGACGAAAGCCAGGGGAGCGAAAGGGAUUAGAUACCCCUGUAGUCCUGGCCGUAAACGAUGAACACUAGGUGUCGGGGGAAUCGACCCCCUCGGUGUCGUAGCCAACGCGUUAAGUGCCCCGCCUGGGGAGUACGAUCGCAAGAUUAAAACUCAAAGGAAUUGACGGGGCCCCGCACAAGCAGCGGAGCAUGCGGCUUAAUUCGACGCAACGCGAAGAACCUUACCAAGGCUUGACAUAUAGGGAAAAGUGGCAGAGAUGUCAUGUCCGCAAGGGCUCUAUACAGGUGGUGCAUGGUUGUCGUCAGCUCGUGUCGUGAGAUGUUGGGUUAAGUCCCGCAACGAGCGCAACCCUCGUUCUGUGUUGCCAGCAUUUAGUUGGGGACUCACAGGAGACUGCCGGGGUUAACUCGGAGGAAGGUGGGGAUGACGUCAAAUCAUCAUGCCCCUUAUGUCUUGGGCUGCACGCAUGCUACAAUGGCCGGUACAGAGGGCUGCAAUACCGUAAGGUGGAGCGAAUCCCAAAAAGCCGGUCUCAGUUCGGAUUGAGGUCUGCAACUCGACCUCAUGAAGUUGGAGUUGCUAGUAAUCGUAGAUCAGCAACGCUACGGUGAAUACGUUCCCGGGGCUUGUACACACCGCCCGUCACGUCACGAAAGUCGGUAACACCCAAAGUCAGUGGCCCAACCGCAAGGGGGGAGCUGCCUAAGGUGGGAUCGGUGAUUGGGACGAAGUCGUAACAAGGUAGGCGUACCGGAAGGUGC
rnacentral:rRNA from 1 species